rnacentral:rRNA from 1 species
AACGCUAGCUACAGGCUUAACACAUGCAAGUCGAGGGGCAGCAUGGUCUUAGCUUGCUAAGGCCGAUGGCGACCGGCGCACGGGUGAGUAACACGUAUCCAACCUGCCGUCUACUCUUGGACAGCCUUCUGAAAGGAAGAUUAAUACAAGAUGGCAUCAUGAGUUCACAUGUUCACAUGAUUAAAGGUAUUCCGGUAGACGAUGGGGAUGCGUUCCAUUAGAUAGUAGGCGGGGUAACGGCCCACCUAGUCUUCGAUGGAUAGGGGUUCUGAGAGGAAGGUCCCCCACAUUGGAACUGAGACACGGUCCAAACUCCUACGGGAGGCAGCAGUGAGGAAUAUUGGUCAAUGGACGAGAGUCUGAACCAGCCAAGUAGCGUGAAGGAUGACUGCCCUAUGGGUUGUAAACUUCUUUUAUAAGGGAAUAAAGUGAGGGACGUGUCCCUUUUUGUAUGUACCUUAUGAAUAAGGAUCGGCUAACUCCGUGCCAGCAGCCGCGGUAAUACGGAGGAUCCAAGCGUUAUCCGGAUUUAUUGGGUUUAAAGGGAGCGUAGGUUGACGUAUAAGUCAGCUGUGAAAGUUUACGGCUCAACCGUGAAAUUGCAGUUGAUACUGUAUGUCUUGAGUGUACAAGAGGUGGGCGGAAUUCGUGGUGUAGCGGUGAAAUGCUUAGAUAUCACGAAGAACUCCGAUUG